GGACAUCUCUUGAGACUUCACUUCAGCUUCACUGACUUCUGGAUUCUCCUCUUGAGUAAAAGGACUCAGCCAACUAUGAAGUUUUUUGUUUUUGCUUUAAUCUUGGCUCUCAUGCUUUCCAUGACUGGAGCUGAUUCACAUGCAAAGAGACAUCAUGGGUAUAAAAGAAAAUUCCAUGAAAAGCAUCAUUCACAUCGAGGCUAUAGAUCAAAUUAUCUGUAUGACAAUUGAUAUCUUCAGUAAUCACGGGGCAUGAUUAUGGAGGUCUCUGCUUGCUAUCUGAUCUACGACAAUCCUGACAAAAACAAGCAAUGGGAAAAGGAUCUCCUAGUCAAUAAAUGGUACUGGGAAAACUGGCUAGCCAUAUACAGAAAACUGAAACUGGACCCCUUCCUUACACCUUAUACAAAAAUUAACUCAAGAUGGAUUGAAAAUUAAAUGAAAAACCCAAAACCAAAAAAAGACCCUAGAAGAAAACCUAGGUGAUAUCAUUCGGGACAUAGGCAUGGACAAAGACUUCAUGAAGAAAAUGCCAAAAGCAAUGGCAACAAAAGCCAAAAUUCACAAAUGGGAUCUAAUUAAACUAAAGAGCUUCUGCACAACAAAAGAAACUAUCAUCAGAGUGAACAGGUAACUUAGAGAUUGGGAGAAAAUUUUUGCAGUCUACCCAUCUGACAAAGGUGUAGUGUCCAGAGUCUACAAGGAACUUAAACAAAUUUACAAGACAAAAACAAAAAACCCGUCUAAAAGUGGACAAAGGAUAUGAACAGACACU
rnacentral:lncRNA from 10 species